rnacentral:rRNA from 1 species
AAGGCCUUCGGGUUGUAAACUCCUUUUGCUAGGGAAGAUAUGACGGUCCCUGCGAAUAAGCCACGGCUAACUCUGUGCCAGCAGCCGCGGUAAUA